AUGUCUACCUCGAGCCUUGUGAGAAGUGGAAGAAACGGGGAUGUGUCAGGAAGAGAUCCGUUGAGAUUACAGAGGCCAGUUGUCCGCUUGGUGUCUGUUAAGUCACGUGAGGCUUCCAAACGUGUAAGUGAGUUAUGUGGGAUAUGUUUUCGCAUAACACUUCCAUUUUCUAAGUGGGGUUUCUUAGAGUGUCUUGAGUGCGUAAGUAUGAAGAGAGAACACACUUGUUCUCUUCAUCUUCUAUGUCCAACACAAAACCCUUGUCCAUAG